UGGACUACACAUUCAUUCUCUCCUACAUGAUAUGGGAAUGGGGAAGGAGAGGAAACUCCAGGCUGUCCUAUGUUGGCAGCUUGAACCAGCACCUAUGGGAGGGAGGCACCUAUUAGUUCUGAUAAAAGCCCUUUAAUAAACAGAAAGGUAGGUUGGCUUGUUAUAUGAGAUAAAGUGCAGCAUAGCAGAAUUGUGAGGAAUAGUUGUUGUUUGCAGUAGUAAGCUACUAUGAUGUAAUUUUACCAUGUCUAACACAAUGUUUUUCAGUGUGUGAAGCAUUUUCAUGGUGUUUGUCAGACAAUUGUCAUACUUAGCACACGUUUAUUUGUACACCUUCUAGUUUACAGCACGCUACUGAUGUCUCGUGUAUGCUCUCUACUCCAAAACACUGUAUGUAUGCAUAAUGUUGAGAAAUAUGAUUGCAUCGCCAGGGUAAUUAUCAAGAUGGAUUUUGUGCUUCAAGGCUAUGCUUUAUUACAACUACUCUUCCUGCAGUUAACGUCAUUUAGAUUAUUGCUACAAGAUUCAUUCAUUUCCUUUACUGCUUUAUAAACUAUGAAAUUGUGCCAAUAAAACAGAAUGCAAGAUCUGUGUGUCCCUUGUAUCUUACAUUACAGUAUGACAGUAAUAAAUGCAAGUAACACCAUAUAAAGAAGUUAUAUGAAGAAGUCAUUCGAUGAAUUUGCAGCACACUAAAAACAAGGGUGGUUAUGAUUUCCGAUGUGCUUCUGCAUUACUACCCAGAUAUAAAUGAGUAAGAAUGAAACGUAUAAAGCAUCUCAAUUUCUUUGUUGUGAAAGGGGGGCAGUGGAAAGUUUCCUCGUCAUGUACAAUCAUUAUACAUUCCUAAUAUUACAAUAAGGAUGUGUAUACAAAGGACACCAAAUCAUCUAAAAAUUACUGUACAUUAUUACAAGUAAAAGCAUUUUAUAACAACUGUUCGGUUUCCAAAUACUAUCGGUUGACAUGGGCUACCUGUCCCCCAGCAUCUUUAUGUCAGCGAAACUCAAAUGAAUGCAAAAAGCUAUUCUGUAAUAAAUCCGUCAGACCUCCUGUGCCUCUCCUGAAUGAUCUAAGUGGAUUGACGUUCCUAGAAAUCAGCUCAGAACAUUCAGGAAAGAAGAAAGGGGGCUGGAUACUGAGCUGUCAGACAUUCAGUCUUACGGAUUUCACUAUGGACAUUCUAAAGCUGGCAAUGCAGUGUAAAACAUAGAAGCUGCAGAAGCCGAAGUGUGCAAAAGUUUUGAUAAAAAACUAUCACAAAAAUGUUUUCGCCCAAAAUACAUGUAAACCAGUAAUAAAAAAAAUGACUCCCAAGAGCCUAUAAGCAAGCAAUACACAAGAGAUAUGUGCUGAAUACCAACUCCCUAUAUUUAUUUACAUUUAUUUCAAUAGAGAGAGGAAAGCAGACACACUUAUUCUCUUAUCCUGAAAUACAACAUGGCUGAUUCUUUUUCCCCCAAUGACAGAUGUGAGGGUCAUUAGAUCUACCACCCUGCAGAUUAGGCUGUUGACCAAACUGCAGAAACUGACAGAUUCCACCAAAUUUUGUCUCACGUUUAUGUCCUAAAAUCUUCUUCCAAAGACAUAGUUUCAAUUGCAUUCAGUAAAUUUUUUGGGUAAAUUGUAAAAACACAUCUGAAUGAGAUGUUGUCCAGCGUUGUUGACCUUUUUUUUUUAUUAACUGUCAACCCCAGCCUGCAGUACCUGAUCAGAAACUCAUACCCACCUGCUCCUCACCCAUCCCUGUCUCCCUUCAGUGGUCUUAUGGUCCCCGUCCAGUAAUCCUCCAUAAGGACAGGGUCACAUGUGCUGCUGCAGCCAAUGACUGGGUCACUGCUAGGUCACAUGCCACUUGAGGACAUGUGACCACUGAGGCCAGUAAUUGGCUGCAGCAUCACACAUGACCCUAUCUGCCUGGACAUUUAUAGUACAGAGACUGGAAGACUGCUGAAGGUAGUCAGGGACCCAGGGAGCCAGAACAUAGUGGAAGGUGCAGGUUAGUAUAAGUUUUUCACCAGGUACAGCAGACUGGGGUAGACAUUUUAAAAAGUCAAAAAAGCUGGACAACCUCUUUAAAAUAAUGUCAGUAAGAUCAGUUUUAUAAAGAUUGCUGAAUGCAGUUGUGGACUGGGAACUUAAUGUGGCCCUAAACAUAUAAUUAAACAUAACCCAAUGUUGUAGGUGGGUUCAAACUGAAAGAAGGUGGGGCAGUACAAUUAGGCAGUGACAACAGAAGUGGGUAGGGCCAGCAAUACCAUAGUGCAGCACAAAAUACUGCCCCAGCAGAACCAAAUACCACAGUGCAGCACAAAAUACUGCAGUCCCUGCUGUAGUAUUCAAAUACAACAGAGCAGCACGAAAU